ensembl:miRNA MIR195 microRNA 195
ACACCCAGCUCCCCUGGCUCUAGCAGCACAGAAAUAUUGGCACUGGGAAGAGAGUCUGCCAAUAUUGGCUGUGCUGCUCCAGGCAGGGUGGUGA